GUGGUGCCAAUGCAUAAUCAUUUCGAUUAAAUACAGAGUUGAAUCGUAGAUCAACAGACGUCGGCGAGACAACGGUGCCAGAAUAUGACCGAGAUGGACGUCACAACUGUUAUCGGAGAUUACGGCAAGUUCCAGAGGAACGUCUACCUCUUCUGUCUUCUCAGAGGAAUUCCCAACGGUCUGCACCUGGUCAUCUACAGCUUUUUCCUGCCGGCGGUUGAUUACUGGUGCGCGAGGCCAGAUAGCCUGGCCGCGAACGUGACGUCAGAACAGUGGAAAUCGCUGGUGCUGUCGAACUCGACCUCUGACGCAUAUUCGUCGUCACUUCGCGGUGGUCGUUGCCGGAUGUUUGACUUCGAGUUCUCCGGCAACGGCACUCCAGUGUUCGGUAAUGGGACGGUACGCUGCAACCAAUGGGAGUACGGUCGGAGCUACUACCGAAGUUCUCUGGUGCAAGAGUGGGACCUGGUGUGUGAUCGAGCAUGGACGCGAAGCCUGGUGCAGACGGCUACGAUGAGCGGAAUGCUCAUCGGCACGCUGGUGUCGUCACUGGGAGACAGGCUCGGACGACGACCCAUGGUAGUCGCUGGCUACGUGACCAGCUUCAUUGGCAGCGUCUGCGUCGCUAUGUCUCCGUGGUUCUCUCUUCUGCUGCUCUCCAGAGGCCUUCUGGGCCUCGGCUUGGGACUGGGACAGACCGCGUGCUUCUGCCUUCUGAUGGAGGUGAUCGGUCCGCAGAAGCGGACGACGACGGCUGUGGCUUUCAGCGUCGGCUUCGCCAUCGGCAUCAUCAUGCUUCCGGGCUUCGCGUGGCUGCUGCAAGACUGGAGGUCCCUGCAGGGCGCCAUCAGCGUGCCCCUCCUGGUCUUCGUGGUUUGGUCAUGGUACUUGCCGGAGUCACCGCGCUGGUUGAUAGCCACGGGGAAAAUGACUGCGGCCCGAAAGGUCGUACUAAAGGCCUGCGCUGACAACGGACUGCCAAUCGACGACAUCGACUCGGUGCUUGGACAACUAAGGAAAAAAAUCUUGCAGCAAGAGCAAGCGGCGAAGAAGGCCAGCUGCUUGGACCUUGUGAGGAGUCGGAGGGUCUUCCUCUACACCUGCAUUCUGGUCUACGCUGCUGCGGCGAGCGGCAUGAUCUUCUACGGCCUGCAGCUGUCGGUGACCAACCUGGGCGGUGACCCGUACCUGACGUUCGUGCUCGCGGCGGUGGCCGAGUUCCCCGUGUGCGUCAUCUGCUACGUGGCCAUCCGGUGGUGCCGCCGGCGUUGGACCAUGCUCGCCGUGUACGGCAUCGCUGGCGUAUGCGCGAUCGGCGUGGCCGUAUUGCCGCCAGCGUGGGUGGUGCCCCGCCAGAUGUGCGCCAUCGGUGGGAAGAUGCUGGCCUCCGCCUCGCUGACGCUGGUGUGGAUCUUCGCGGCCGAAGUGUUCCCGACAUUGUACCGGACGGUCGGAAUCAGCGCCUGCCUGGUUGGCACCCGCGUCGGCUCUUCUGUGGCCCCGUUUCUGCUGGAACUGAGAACCUACCUGUCUGACUCGAUCCCCAUGAUCACUCUGGCAGCCGCUGCCGUGUUCGCCUCCUCGCUGAUGCUCUUGUUGCCGGAGACACUACGGGUUACGCUACCGGACACGAUACGCGAGUCCAAGCAGCUGGGGAAUUCGAGGAAAGCAGGCAAAGAUGUCUCCUCUAAAGAUACUGCGAUCGACUCGAAACUUCAACUUGCGGGGUGUCAACCAACCGCGCUGGACAAUGACAUCAACCACUGAACUACCUCAUCUUGUCUAUCGCUAGGACUUCACCUUGAGGAUGCCAGCAAUGGCGAUAACCACGAUUCCCUGGUUCGACUGCUGCCUUGAGGCGUCCAUAUUCAACUGAAGGUUGAAUGCGAAAUGGCGAAUUUUAAAGAAGACGUUACGUGGCCAAAUGUGCCAUACAGAACGAACCAUGACUCCCUUGAUAGCUGAGUUGUCUAUUCGGACUAUAUAGGGCAUUUUAUUGUAAAAUUAACAGAAUUAGAAAAAAGAAAUCUUAGCGAGUGGCACAAUUGAUCUUCUUCAGUGGAUUACUCGAAGAGAGAGACAUCAGUUGCACGAGAAAUCGGAAGACAGUACCGAGAAAUUGACAAAAAUCUUACUAAUAACUUUUUUAGAAAAUGACUGUACAUAUUGCAAUUUACGAAUUGGACUCGGUGAGUUCGCAAAGUAUGCAUAUAUGUUCCUAUUUCUGAUGUGGAAGUCUGAUCAUGAGGGCAGGUUAACAGUUAUCAUGUUAUCAGUUUGUCAUCGUGCCAGUACAAAUGGAGUUCUACUAUUAACUAUUGGCUUAAUAAAUUCUAUGUUUGCGUUUGAACAACACUUCCUUGUGCCAUAAUCUUGUUUCAUGUAGCAGCUGGCCUAGUGAACUUUCCCUGUUUGCUGACUAUC
rnacentral:misc_RNA from 1 species